GUCGCGUCGUUAUUUUAUUCCAAUUCAGGCAUUCUUGAGUCACACACAUAUCCGUAAUAAUUUUAACGAAACAAUUUAUAAUUUCGAUUCGCACGUAGUAGUGGCUUGGAUUAAAAUAUUACAUCAAAGUAAUUUCGAGUCAUGAAAUCGCAAUUUUUCGGACACUAUUAUUUCCCAUUAUCGCGCUGAUUAAACACCCGAGACACUAGGCAGCGGGAGGUUUAAUGGACUCCAUUGUUUCGACGAUGUAGACGCACGUAUUAUUGUUGACCGUCCGUUAAUUGAGUGACAGCGGAUAAAUACCUCGCCGGUUGCAAGAAUAAUCAUUGUCGCUCUUAUCAUCGUCAUCAUCGUCGUCGUCAUCAGCAUCGCUUGUGCCAUUCCCGAUCUCGAUUGUCGUCUACGUAGCUACAGGAAGCAGCAUCCUUGCUAGAUUCGAAAAGAUGCAAAUAAUUUUUAUUUGCAUAGCAGUAUUACUUGGGAAAUCCAGGACUUGCAACGCGGAGGCAAAACGUGGAUAGAUAUGUAUGUAUUGUCGAUGAAUAAGGCAUCAAACUUUUGAAUUACUGUUUCCUUGUUCAACCACAAUCGUCUUAAUUUAUCGCGUAAGUUUUAGUAUACCUCUCUAACUGAGUCUAAAGUUUUGUUAAAGCUGUGUCUAGUUGAAAUUAGUCGAAAUAUUUAACUCUGUUGUGCAUCUUCGCCGAAGCUCCUGUCGGGAUUCUUUAAUAUCUUGUUAGCUUAAUGAAA